UACGGAGGAUGCAAGCGUUAUCCGGAAUGAUUGGGCGUAAAGCGUCCGCAGGUGGCUAUGUAAGUCUGCUGUUAAAGAGUGAGGCUCAACCUCAUAAGAGCAGUGGAAACUACAUAGCUAGAGUGCGUUCGGGGCAGAGGGAAUUCCUGGUGUAGCGGUGAAAUGCGUAGAUAUCAGGAGGAACACCAAUAGCGAAGGCAGCUCGCUGGGACGGUACUGACGCUGAGGCGCGAAAGCUAGGGGAGCAAACGGG
rnacentral:rRNA from 1 species